AUGACAACAUAUGGCAAGCCUAUUUGUUCUGCCCAUGGUAUGUUUUAUGUGUUUUGGUGAUUGAAGUUGAAUUGUUUGUAUAGGACUUAUAUUUUGAAUAGGACUUUUAUUUUGACGCGCACGAGAUCGGAAGGCAAUGGAAGUUUGGAGCACACGGGCACCGUUCACAUGGCAACACUCAACUGUCACAGCAAACUCAACUUUAACGUGUUUUUUAACUUUCAAUCUCAUAGAAAGCAAUGACUGUAAGUUUUACAUGAUCGUAAUAUGUAUGUUAUUUAAUUACAAUGAGUUGUAGUUGUUUGAUGAUAAAUAGUAUAUAAUAUGAUUAAAUAGUCAAAUAAAUCGCUGCAACUGUACUGUUGUUUACGUUAGCAUGUUAGCUAAUUAAUGUUAAUUAUAGCUAAUUAUAAUGUUAUGUUGUAUUUUAUAAUUCAGCACUUUUUCCACUUUGUUUUUCUUCCUAGUUUUACUCCAUUCAAUGUGGUCAAUAAAGGAGCAAGAAGGCUCAUUUUCCUGGCUCUUGAAAAAGGAGUUUGGCUCGCUGCUUAAUUUAUAUUAACGCUAGGAAGCAAAAACAUAUAGACAGAGCAGUACAGUAAAAAGUCAUUACCAUCAAAGAGAUUUAUGCUAGUUAUGGAAACCCAAGCAGCAGAAAAUGCACCAUCAGUGUCCGGAUCCAGGCACUCGUCUGCCUCCAAGUGCUCAGUAGCCGGCGCAGCAGCGAGAGCCAGAGGCAUAGCAGAAGCCGCGCGUGCCAGAGCUGCAUUCUCACAGCAGGAGCUGGAGCUAAAGAUGCAGAAAGCUAGAUUGGAAGCGAACCUGCAAGCGCUUGAACUUGAAAAGGCAGCGGCUGCUGCCAAUGCAGAGGCUGAAGUGUUAGAGGCGGCAGCUCAAAUGGAGUAUGAUGACAUGCUCAGUCCCAAGAGUGCCAUCACACCACUGGAGGUACAGCAGCGGACGGAGGCGUACGUGGCACAGCAUACACAGGCCAGCCCCGCAUACACAGGCCAGCCCCUCAACCCCAAUGCUCCCCCUCCAGACAUAUCUCCUCCUCUCAGUCUCAAAGAGUCACCACCAUCGAGACACACCCCUGUGUUAAGCCCCACAUCUGCCCAUGAUGCCCGAUCUGUUCACUCAGCCACACAGCACAGUGAGUACUUGCCUGCGUCAGAGCACCAGCCCCAUUUACCUCGAUGCCCCACCUCAUACUCUUACUCUCCAUCCAGAGUCUGUCAGCAGCAAGGCUGCUCCCCAGGCAAACAUGUGAGCUUCCAAGACCAUUCAUCUAGGAAUAACAUACAGAGCCCUCCUUAUGUCAAUCAGGCCCCUGACAUGAUGGACUUUGCUAAGUAUCUGGCCCGCAGGGAGUUAGUUACUACAGGGCUAAAUAAAUUUGACGAUCAGCCUGAAAGUUUUAGAGCAUGGCAGUCCUCCUUUUUUAAUGCUACUCAGGGCCUAGAGUUAACAGCUAGUGAAGAGCUAGACCUGCUCAUUAAAUGGCUAGGAAAGGAGUCCUCAGACCAUGUCAAAAGAAUCCGGGCAGUGUAUGUCUCUAAUCCCCAAGCUGCAUUGCAGUUGUCUUGGACAAGACUUCAAGAGUGCUAUGCCACCCCUGAAGUGAUAGAGAGUGCACUAUUCAAGCGGCUGGACUGUUUCCCUCGCCUCAGUUCAAGAGAAAACUCAAAGCUGAGAGAGCUUAGUGACCUGCUCCUGGAGCUGCUCUCAGCCCAAACAGAUGGGUACUUACCUGGCCUCAGUUACCUCGACACACCGCGGGGAAUCAACCCCAUCGUCGAAAAGCUGCCACAGAACCUACAAGAUAAAUGGCUGUCUACUGGUUCAAGAUAUAAAGAACAUCACAGAGUCUGCUACCCCCCAUUCUCCUUCUUCGUUGAGUUCGUCCGCUGCGAGGCAAAGGCCAGGAAUGACCCCAGCUUUAUCCUGCCCAACAACAGCUACAGUCAUCACCGCAACGAAAGGGCUGCAGGGAGACAGGAGAGUGUGAGGACCGCCAUAUCUGUCCACAAAACCGACGUGGCAGCAACAGCUAAUGCACACCUGACUUACAGAGCAGAGAGAGAAGUGAGGGAUCCAUCUAAGAACUGUCCACUUCAUGACAAGCCGCACCCUCUGGAAAGAUGCAGAGGUUUUAGAAUGAAGCCGCUUACAGAACGCAAAAGGUUACUAAAAGAAUAUAGAAGAUGUUUUAGGUGCUGCUCUGCUGUUCACAUGGCCAAGGAAUGUCCUGUGAAGCUGAAAUGCAAUGAGUGUGAAAGUGAGGAACACUGCACAACCAUGCAUCCAGACACCACCCUGUCACCAGCAGCGUUUCCUGUUGCGGAGCCACACACAGAACAGCAACGCAGCUUUCCUUCAGAGGUGACUUCCAGGUGUACAGAGGUCUGCGGAGAUGGUCUCCCGGCUCGAUCCUGUGCAAAGAUAUGCCUGGUGCAGGUCUUCCCACGAGGCGAAAGAGAACGUGCUGUGAAGAUGUACGCCAUCAUUGAUGACCAGAGCAACCGCUCACUGGCCAGGUCUGAGUUUUUCCAGCUCUUCGGCAUCCACGGUAGCCCUGCUCCUUACCUGCUGAGGACCUGCGCUGGCACCACUGAAAUGGCUGGGAGGAAAGCAGUCGGUUUCCAGAUAGAAGCAGUCGACGGCCCAGUGAGUCUGGAUUUGCCCCCACUCAUUGAGUGCAAUGAGAUCAUGAGCAACAGGUCAGAAAUCCCCACAGCAGAGGUGGCUCUUUCUCACACUCACCUGAGGCCUGUGGCUCCUCAUAUCCCAGAGCUUGACCCUGAAGCACAGAUUCUCAUUUUAUUAGGGAGAGACCUAAUCCGUGUUCAUAAAGUGAGACAACAGAUUAAUGGCCCUAACAAUGCACCUUUUGCCCAGCGCUUGGACUUGGGGUGGGUCAUAGUUGGGGAAGUUUGCAUUGACAGUGCCCGCAAGCCCACUGUUGCUGUCUUCAAGACAAAUGUCCUUCAUAACGGACGUCCAUCGUACCUGACACCGUGUCAAAAUCACAUACACGUCAAAGACAAGGCAAGCUACGGCGGGGAGCAAAGACAUGACCUCUCCAGCCACUCUCUCGUCAACGUGCGCCCUGAGGACAAGCUUGGACUUGACGUGUUCAUGAGAACAGCAAAUGACAACAAACACGCUCUAUCUUUUGAAGAUGAGACAUUCUUGAAUGCCAUGCACACAGAAUUCAAAAGAGAUGAACAAAACAGCUGGAUUGCUCCCCUGCCAUUCAGGUCACCCAGGCCACGCCUCCCAAACAACCGUGCUCAGGCCCUCUCUCGUCUCCACUCCUUGCGGCGCACACUGAACAAAAAACCUGAAAUGAAAGAACAGUUUGUUAGUUUUAUGGAAAAACUCUUUGCAAACAAACACGCAGAACAAGCAGCCCCCCUCCAUGAGAAUGCAGAGUGUUGGUACUUACCCAUUUUCGGGGUGUACCACCCCCAAAAGCCGGGUCAGAUUAGAGUUGUGUUUGACUCGAGUGCACAAGAAGACGGCCUCUCUCUCAAUAGUGUCCUGCUCUCUGGCCCUGAUUUGAACAACUCCCUCCUCGGAGUACUGCUCAGAUUCAGAAAAGAACUCAUUGCACUGACAGCUGACAUCCAACAAAUGUUCUAUGGCUUCUUCGUGAGAGAAGAUCACAGAGACUACUUAAGAUUUCUCUGGCACAAGGAUAACAACCUGACGAAGGAGGUGGCGGAGUACCGCAUGCGAGUGCAUGUGUUCGGCAAUAGCCCGUCGCCCGCGGUGGCUAUAUAUGGACUUCGGAAAGCGGCCCAGGAGGGCGAACAGAAGUAUGGAUCCGACUCACGCCACUUCGUGGAGAGACACUUUUAUGUGGAUGACGGGCUCGUCUCACUGCCGUCUGAGUCUGAGGCCAUCGAUCUACUCAGGCGCACUCAAGCAUCGCUGGCAGAGUCAAACCUCAAACUGCAUAAGAUAGCCUCAAACAGUGUCACAGUAAUGCAAGCCUUCCCACCUGAAGACCGGGCUGCAGGCCUGAAAGACUUGGGCCUGGACGACGGAGCUUUGCCAAUGCAAAGAAGCCUGGGGUUGUGCUGGGACAUUGACUCUGACACCUUUACAUUCAAGGUCGCCGUCAGCGGCAAACCGUUUACCCGCCGUGGAGUCCUAUCCACAGUCAACAGUCUUUUUGACCCGCUGGGUUUCGCCGCACCUGUGACCAUCAAGGGACGUGCACUGCUGCGAGAACUCUCCACAGAGGUCCACGAUUGGGACGCUAAACUUCCUGCAGACAAGCUGAACAAGUGGGAAACAUGGAGAAAAUCACUGCAAGAUCUGAGCAGCCUCCAUAUCCCCCGCUCAUACACACAGCAAUCCUUCUCUAACACCAUACACACUGAACUGUGUCUUUUUUCAGAUGCUUCUUGCUGGGCCAUCGGCGCGGUGGCUUACCUGAGAGUCAUCACAACAGAUGGGCAGUGUAGAGUGGGCUUUGUGCUUGGAAAAGCAAAGCUGGCUCCUCAACCCGAACCAACCAUCCCUCGCCUUGAGCUGUGUGGCGCUGUGCUGGCAGUAGAAAUGGCUGAAUUGAUCCUGGAGGAGCUCGACCACAAGCCAGAUGCAGUGAAGUUUUUCUGUGACAGCAAGGUGGUUUUGGGAUAUAUACACAACGAGUCUAAGCGGUUCUUUGUGUACGUGCACAACCGCGUUCACCGCAUCCGACAAACCACAUCCCCUCAGCAGUGGCACUAUGUACCUACGGAUCAAAAUCCAGCUGAUCUGGCCACUAGGUCAGUGCCUGCAUCACAACUCACCAACACCACAUGGUUUACAGGACCAGAGUUCCUAUUCAAGCCACACCAGCCUGAAACUCAUGACCCCUUUCAGUUAGUAGAUCCUGAAACAGACACAGACUUGAGGCCUCAGCUGACAGCGCUCGCCACACACCUAAGUGAAGGUAAACUCACCUCAGAACGGUUCCAGCGCUUCUCUACUUGGGAGUCUUUGAUGAGAGCUGUCUCUUUCUUAAUCCACCAAGCCACGUCAUUCAGGUCAGACUGUCCGAAUGUUUGUAAAAGAUGGCACCUGUGUAAAAAGCCACGCACUCCAGAGGAGCUCGAUGCGGCAAAACGAGUCAUACUCAUGUCUGUCCAGAGGGAUGCUUAUCCAGAAGAGUAUGCAGCACUACAAGAAAAAAGAACAAUUUCCAAGUCUAGCACAAUCCUGAACCUCGAUCCUGUCAUGUGCGAUGGCCUGUUGAGAAUUGGCGGCCGUCUGAAACAUGCAUCUGUUGGGCCUGAGGUGAGAAACCCCAUCAUUCUCCCAAAAUGUCAUGUGACAAAGUUAAUGGUGAGCCACCACCACGCAAAAGUGCAGCACCAAGGGCGACACUUCACAGAGGGUGCUGUGAGGGCUGCCGGCCUGUGGGUCGUUGCAGGCAAGAGACUGAUAGGCUCAGUCAUCCACCACUGCGUCACCUGCCGCAAGUUAAGAGGGAAGCUUGAGGUCCAGAAGAUGGCUGACCUCCCCCCGGAACGUCUGAGCUCAUCUCCGCCAUUCACAUACGUAGGGCUGGAUGUGUUUGGCCCCUGGAACGUGGUCACACGACGCACCAGAGGCGGCGCAGCUCAUAGUAAGCGGUGGGCUAUACUCUUCACAUGCAUGUGCUCCAGGGCUGUGCAUAUAGAGCUCAUUGAAAGCAUGGACUCACCCAGCUGCAUCAAUGCCUUGAGAAGGUUUUUCGCCCUGAGAGGGCCAGCAAAGCAGCUGAGAUCAGAUCGAGGUACGAACUUCAUCGGGGCCAGUGCUGAACUGGGCAUGAGACCGGACGACCCAAACCAGGUCAGCACUCUGAAACACCUUCACGAGAACGGCUGUGCGUGGGAGUUUAACCCGCCACAUGCAUCUCACAUGGGGGGUGUGUGGGAGCGCAUGAUCGGCAUAGCCCGCAGGAUACUCGACUCCAUGCUCCUGGAAAGAAAGCAAAAUGACCUGACUCACGAAGUGCUGUGUACCUUGAUGGCAGAGGUGUGUGCCAUAAUGAACGCAAGGCCAUUAGUUCCAGUCUCCUCUGACCCUUCGUCACCAGUGCUGCUGACUCCUGCUAUGCUGUUGACUCAAAGGCCAGGGGUGUCUGCUCCAGCCGGCACUUUCACUGAAAAGGACUUGUUCAAGUGUCAGUGGAGACAGGUGCAGGCCCUGGCAAAUGAGUUCUGGACGCGAUGGAGAAAUGAAUACCUCCACACUCUUCAGCCAAGGCGCAAAUGGCGCACAGCAACACGAGAUCUGCAGCCCGGGGACGUUGUGUUGCUGAAAGAGAGUCAGUCCCCUCGCAAUGAGUGGCCUAUGGGUCUGGUCACUGCCGCCUUUCCAAGCAGUGACGGAAAGGUCAGAAAGGUUGAAAUAAAGACUGCAUCACAAGACAAAGUAAAGACAUUCUUCAGGCCCAUUACUGAGGUUGUCCUGCUUCUGCCUAAGAAAGGUCAAAGGUCAAGCGAGGACUGUUGAAUCUUUAGUGGCAUUAAAUGCCAGACGGGGAGUGUUCUGCCCAUGGUAUGUUUUAUGUGUUUUGGUGAUUGAAGUUGAAUUGUUUGUAUAGGACUUAUAUUUUGAAUAGGACUUUUAUUUUGACGCGCACGAGAUCGGAAGGCAAUGGAAGUUUGGAGCACACGGGCACCGUUCACAUGGCAACACUCAACUGUCACAGCAAACUCAACUUUAACGUGUUUUUUAACUUUCAAUCUCAUAGAAAGCAAUGACUGUAAGUUUUACAUGAUCGUAAUAUGUAUGUUAUUUAAUUACAAUGAGUUGUAGUUGUUUGAUGAUAAAUAGUAUAUAAUAUGAUUAAAUAGUCAAAUAAAUCGCUGCAACUGUACUGUUGUUUACGUUAGCAUGUUAGCUAAUUAAUGUUAAUUAUAGCUAAUUAUAAUGUUAUGUUGUAUUUUAUAAUUCAGCACUUUUUCCACUUUGUUUUUCUUCCUAGUUUUACUCCAUUCAAUGUGGUCAAUAAAGGAGCAAGAAGGCUCAUUUUCCUGGCUCUUGAAAAAGGAGUUUGGCUCGCUGCUUAAUUUAUAUUAACGCUAGGAAGCAAAAACAUAUAGACAGAGCAGUACACUAUUAAUGUUUUCCCUCUUCUGAGUCCUGUGUGGAAUAUAAAUCUUCUUUAUUUUAAAA
rnacentral:lncRNA from 1 species